CCACACAAUAGCUUUAUUAUAAUCCAUCCCACAAUUUUCUUCAAUCCCAAAUUCCAAAUCAUACCUCAAUUUCUUCUCUGACUCUCGUAGACUCGCCGCUGCCGACUGCUAUUGCUACGAACAAAGGUACUCAUUUGUCUGUAUUUUUUCAUGCUUGUUUAUAUUGCUUAAUUCAUAAUUCUAGUUCUUUUUAAAUAUUUUGUGAUGGAGAAUUUGAUUUGGGGUGAACUGUGGAGCCAGAGGAUUUUGUACCGUCACUCGUGUUUUCGGUCUGAAUUAUUUUCUGAUUUUGAUAGGGAAUCACCGAAUGGGAUUAAGAUUCAUUGCUAAAAUAUUGAAUGGGGUUAGGAUUAUAUUAAAAUUUGAAUGGGAUUGUUGGGAAUAGGAUUAUAUUGAAAUUUGAAUGGGAUUAGGAUUAUAUUGAAACUUGAAUGUAAUUUGUUGUUCUAACUAGUUUAAUGCACUACAUGGUGUUGGUUAUUCCCAUUUAGCAACUAAUAUCAGAAUCCACAUUGUUCAAUCUCCCUGAAAUUUGAAUUAUCUAAGUCUAGUUUCGCCAGUACCUAAUUGAUGCAUAAUGGUUUGAUAUUUAAAUGAGUUAUGGGUUAGUCUGUGUAUUUUGAGAAUGGUGGCAGUGAUUGAUAGUGUACAGAGAGUUUUUUAAGGCAAAUUAUUAUUCAUGAUUUUGCACACGUGUUACUGGUAAUUGUGCUAAUCCUGGGUACUAAAAAUAGUUAUCUUGAUCAGUUCUUUUGGUUGUUUUUGGGUUUCUGAUGCAGAUAAGUCUCAUAAACGUAAAUUUCCUUUACUUUCACCUCUUUCAGUCCAGCUAACAACUUCGGUGCCAAUCAAUAUGUUUCCAUAUUUUAAGUUGAUGACUCUAUUUACUAUGCUGUCAUUUUGGUCUUGUCAUAUUUGAGCAUUAACGUGUUAAACGUUUUAACUUAAAGAAUACUUGUUCAUUCAACAUUAUUACAUUGACUUUAUUAAGUACUUUUAAUCCCCCCAUCAAAAACCCUGGAUCCGUCCUUGCUCAAACCCACAACCACUAGAGCAUGAAACCUUGUGAAUUACUAUAGAUAUUUGUGCGUGAUUUGCUUGAUUUUGAUUGUACUGCUCUCAAAAUGCCAAGGCAUAAACUUUUUCAUAAGGUGGUUCAAUAUUGCCUCAAAUCAGAUACACGUUCUGAGUUCUAGUCUCUUUGCCUAAAUUGAGACGUGAAUUACUAUAAAUUUAUGUGUAUUGUUUGCUUAUUUUCUCUUCAUAUUGCUCUUGAUGGUAAGGUUUAAUCAAUAAAAUAAACUUCUAGACGAGAAGCAUCAACAGGUACAUGUCCUAAGUUCAAGUCUCAUGGUAAUUCAACUGCUGAAAAUCGAGCACUUGUGAGACAAUUGAUGAAAAAUGAAUUUGGGCGGUAAGUGGGAGGACUAGAAUUAUAUGAGUUGCCUUUACAAGCAUUCUCCUCAACGAAUAUAGCGUCAGGCCUCAAGGAGCCUUUCCACGAGCCCGAUGCACUCAACCUUAUCAGCCCAUCAUGCAUCAUACUCUCGUCUGAUAUCCUCCUUAAUUAAAAUCUCAUUGGAUUUAUUCAACGCAGCCAUUUGGUAGAAUUAAUGUUCAGAUUUUAAUCUAAAUCAAAGUUAAUAAUUACUUUUAAUCACAUAUUUUAUAGAACUCACAACUUUUUAACCAUAAAUUUCAUUAUCUUCGAUCAAAAUCUAUUAAAAAUCUGAUUUUAAUCUCCACGAAAUAGGGGUUUAAUAAUAUUCUCAUGAUUCAUGACUCCAAAAUAAAUGGUAAAUCUUAAAGCUUUGGAUAGGAUUGUGAGGACAAAAGUUUGGAUGGCAUUUUUCUGCUGUUUCUAAUAUGCAUCUUUUAUUUCUUGAGAGCUUGAAUCGAUAGAAGCUCCCAGCAAUUAGGAGUAAUUCUUUUUGCUUUCACAAUAUCUUACUGCCAUGGAUUUCUGCCUCCUGCUCGAGUCCAUUUAAACAUAAAAAACCCAAUAAUUUUCAAGUUUAAGGCAAACCUUCAAAAGUAUUGAAAUGUUGAGAACUAUGAACUCAACAAUUGAGAAUAUGAGACUUCAAGUUUUAUGACAAUUGAGAUACAAUAAGAAACGUCUUAUUUAUAAAUUAUUAAAAAUGAGAGUGAAUAUAUCAUAUAACGACUGAUAAAUGCAUAUAGGCUUGUUAGAAUGGAGUCGUAGAUGAAUUUCAGCAGAUUUUGGCCUUGAGAGUUGAUGAAUGGGACAAAGAUGAUACAUAUUUCUAUUCUAAUACCUUAAUUAGAGCUAAUGUUUCCAAUAGUGCAAGAAAAUUCAGAGCUUAGAUAUUUUCAGUAGACUAGCAAGAUAACAUUUUUUUUUUUUUUUUUUUUGGGGUAGCAAAAAUCGUGAGGACACGCAAGAAAGGAAAACUGUAGUAUCAACCUUUUAGUAUAGUUACGCAAUAGCCCUAAUGAGAGACAAUUUGUUAUGAAAUGCUCAUUUUUUUAUUGAGAAGACAGUGUCAUAUAUAUUUUUGAAUGAAAUAAAGAUUCAAGAAAAUGCAAAUUCACGGUAUGGAAAUGUGGUAGCAAUGUUGGGUAUUUUCAUCAUUUUAGUUCAUGACAUGAAUGCAAUUCACUAUCAUAUUUAUCUAUAUUUUUCAAAAUCGAGCGCUAGAUUGUUCGUUCAUUUCGCAAGUGUACGAAUCGUAGCAAGUAAUAUAUGAUGAGUGAAUUAUUAUACUUCGAAAGCCGUUCUACUAAGUUAUAAAAUUAAUAAUUAUAUCCUUAUUUGAGACAUCAAUUUUUAAACGAGUGAUUCUAAAUCUAAUCAAUCAAACAACCUAAAUAUGAAUGCAAUUAAGUGAUGUUAGAAACUCUAAAUGCGAGAUUAAAAUAAUGGUUUAAAAGAGUAGGAGUUUCGGCUUCACUAUAGUAUUUUACCCAAACUUUUUGGAGUUAAUUGUGCCAAUGGUUACUGAACUUUGAUUCAUGUCUUUGAUUAGUCACUAAAGUUUAAAAUGUCGAGUUUUGGUCACCGAUCUUAGAUCAAUGUCUUCGAUUGUUCACUGAACUUAUGUUCAUAUUUUAGAUUGCUCACUGAAAUUUAAAAUAUCGAGUUUUGGGCCACUAAAUAUUGGAAUAUGUUGUACGUUAC
rnacentral:lncRNA from 1 species